UACGUAGGGUGCAAGCGUUGUCCGGAAUUAUUGGGCGUAAAGAGCUCGUAGGCGGUUUGUUGCGUCGGCUGUGAAAUCCCGAGGCUCAACCUCGGGUCUGCAGUCGAUACGAGCAAACUAGAGUGUUGCAGGGGAGACUGGAAUUCCUGGUGUAGCGGUGAAAUGCGCAGAGUAUCAGGAGGAACACCGGUGGCGAAGGCGGGUCUCUGGGCAACAACUGACGCUGAGGAGCGAAAGCGUGGGGAGCGAACAGG
rnacentral:rRNA from 1 species